rnacentral:rRNA from 1 species
UACAGAGGGUGCGAGCGUUAAUCGGAAUUACUGGGCGUAAAGCGUACGUAGGUGGCGACGUAAGUCGGGUGUGAAAGCCCCGGGCUCAACCUGGGAAUUGCAUUCGAGACUGCAUUGCUGGAGUACGGAAGAGGAAGGCGGAAUUCCCGGUGUAGCGGUGAAAUGCGUAGAUAUCGGGAGGAACAUCAGUGGCGAAGGCGGCCUUCUGGUCCAGUACUGACACUCAAGUGCGAAAGCGUGGGGAGCAAACAGG